AAAUUGAAGAGUUUGAUCAUGGCUCAGAUUGAACGCUGGCGGCAGGCCUAACACAUGCAAGUCGAACGGUAACAGGAAGCAGCUUGCUGUUUCGCUGACGAGUGGCGGACGGGUGAGUAAUGUCUGGGAAACUGCCUGAUGGAGGGGGAUAACUACUGGAAACGGUAGCUAAUACCGCAUAACGUCGCAAGACCAAAGAGGGGGACCUUCGGGCCUCUUGCCAUCGGAUGUGCCCAGAUGGGAUUAGCUAGUAGGUGGGGUAACGGCUCACCUAGGCGACGAUCCCUAGCUGGUCUGAGAGGAUGACCAGCCACACUGGAACUGAGACACGGUCCAGACUCCUACGGGAGGCAGCAGUGGGGAAUAUUGC
rnacentral:rRNA from 1 species